rnacentral:tRNA from 1 species
AGUCCCGUGGAGUAAGAGCUCAUUGAAUUGCAAGUUCAAGGGUGCAAAUUAAAGUUUGCCGGGGCUU